AGCGGCAGAUCUAGUAUAUAGAAGGUUGGCCGUAAGGUCAGCAGCAAGCUAAAGCUUGUGGGAUCCUUCUUCUAGAAUGCCGCUAUGUU
rnacentral:ncRNA from 1 species